UACGAAGGGGGCUAGCGUUGUUCGGAUUUACUGGGCGUAAAGCGCACGUAGGCGGAUUGAUAAGUCAGGGGUGAAAUCCCGGGGCUCAACCUCGGAAUUGCCUUUGAUACUGUCUGUCUUGAGUCCGGGAGAGGUGAGUGGAAUUCCUAGUGUAGAGGUGAAAUUCGUAGAUAUUAGGAAGAACACCAGUGGCGAAGGCGGCUCACUGGCCCGGUACUGACGCUCAUGUGCGAAAGCGUGGGGAGCAAACAGG
rnacentral:rRNA from 1 species